rnacentral:rRNA from 1 species
UACAGAGACUGCAAGCGUUAUUCGGAUUCACUGGGCGUAAAGGGUGCGUAGGUGGCGGGGUAAGUUGGAUGUGAAAUCUCGGAGCUCAACUCCGAAACUGCAUUCAAUACUGCCUUGCUAGAGUACUGGAGAGGAGAUUGGAAUUUACGGUGUAGCAGUGAAAUGCGUAGAUAUCGUAAGGAAGACCAGUGGCGAAGGCGGAUCUCUGGACAGUUACUGACACUGAGGCACGAAGGCCAGGGGAGCAAACGGG